AUGAGCUUUCAAAAUGGGCGCCUCUUAGUUAGCCGUUAUUUUAACUCUUUAUACGUAAUCACAUGUUUCCCUCUCAUUUUGAAUUGACUUGUUUCUUUAUAAUGGUUUUUGUUUUUAAUUUUGUUUGUGGUUGAUUUUGAUUUUAAUUGGAUUGGUAAAAGAAGGUGUAUUGCUUUAUGGAUUACUCAAUGGACUAACCAAUUGGCUUGUUAAUGGACUAAUUUGCUGGACUAUAAGUACAUCAAUGUUUGGUUGGCGAGAUUUCAAUGGUGAACAUGAGUUUAGCAGGAGAUAAGUCUAAUUAUGUACUUAUGUUAUAAAUUGUAACAAAUGAAAGACGAAGACCGAUGAAGGUACAAUCUGCUGGUAUAUUUCUUGGGGACAAUUAUCAGGCUUUGGAAGACGUCGAUUCUCUCGGAAUAAUCUUAAUAUAUCUUGGCCAUCCAUUCCCUAAUACAAAAGGAAACAAGAUGGAAAGAAAGAGUGAUAAGUCAUAAUAAGUUUACCAUUGGAAAAAAAGAGGGAAAAUUGAAUCAAUAGCAAUAUUAUUAUUACCAGGCGCAAAGGAAGGAUCAAAAGUGAAAAGUGAAAGAGAAAUGGAUGAGCAAAGGAGGAGAAAAACAUUCAACGGAUAUUGGAAUCAUUUUUCAAGAUGAAAAGAAAGAUUGGAAAGAUGAUGAUCAAAGGGAAAGGCCAAUAUUGAUAGGGAUGGAGAAUAAUAAUCAUGUAAAGAGAUGAUGAUGAAAAUAUUAAGUACAAACGGUUGACCCAAAGAUUGAAUAAUGAAAAAUGAAAAGAGAAGGAGAAAAAAAAGGAAUGAAUAAGCAAGAUAAAUACUAGAAGAUGAAGACAAGAAGGAAAAACAGUGAACAUGAUGGUACAACAGAGAGCAGAAAGUAGAGUAAAAAGAGUAAGUGAUGAUAAUGAUGAUGAUUAUGUUGUUGUUGAUGUUGAUGAUGAUCUAGUAUAAGAUGAAGUAAAUCAAAUUGGGCGUUGAUGAAAGAUUCAAGUUAACAUUACGGUUAACUUAAAGCAAAGUACGAAGCAAGAAGUUAUUAAUAUAUCUAGAAUCAAGAAAAAAAGCCAAAGACUCUGUUGGAUACUUGCAGUUGGAAACUAAUUUCAUUUCUGAUUUUUCUAAUCAACAAACAUAUGACAAGGAUUGAUUACAAAUAAUAGUAAACACUAAAUGAUAUAACUGAUGGUGCAACGAUAUUGAAUAACUUUUAAUAUACCAACAUUUCCCUCAAUCUGGUAAUUCAUUCAAUCAACUUCAUUCUCUUCACCUGGAAUUGCUACAGUUAUACACACACACACACAAAAGAAGGAAGCUAAUUGUUUCAAACCUAAUAUGGAUCCAACCUAAUGUGAUUAUCGAGGAAAAAUGAUGAAUACAAAAAGUGAAACUAAAAGUGAAUCUGGUUAAUUUGUUUCAAGAUUGUCAUUUAAUACUGACAUGCAACUCUUGAAACAAAAAAGCUUUCUUGCAUGAACAAACUUGUGAAUCGUUUUAAUAUCAUCGUGUGUUUGAAAUGAAAAAAAACAAGUUACACAAUUUUAAUUUGUAUUAAUAGAAGACGAGAAAAUUAUUAUCAUUGAAGUUGUCAACUGUCAAAACUAAAAGAUAAUUAAAUCUGUUGUAAUUUCAUUUCUGUCAUCAUCAUCAGGAGAGUAACUAUUUUGCAGCAUUUCAACAUUUGUGAAUAAAAAUCGUUUUCACAACAGA